UAAUUAGUAGUAGUUGCGACAACUAAAUAUCUGAACUAGUAGUCAGAAUCAGUUCUAGAGUUAGCUAGGUUCAGGAUCAUGGAUGCUAAUUUUUGUUUCUGAACUUCUCUUGUUGAAAUCUGCAAGAUAGUAUGAGGUGUUGGUGUGGCUGUGCGUGGCUGCUUCGAAAUAACAACUCAAUAUCUGUUCAUAUGGCUCGAUUUUGCAUCUCACUUCUGUUGAAUAAAUAUGCUCUAGUUCUGAACUCACUGGUGCUGAAUAAACAUGCAGAGAAUCAUAGCUGUAAGUAGAAACAGAGAGAACACCAGAAACAGGAUCGGGAACAAUUUAUCUCACUAUUUAAAAAUUUUGCCACUAGAAUAAGCUUUAGACAAUACCAGCUGACAGGAAACACAAAUCUCAGCUGAAUCAUACAGGACUACAGUGGGGCUACAUAUUAAAGCUAGACAAACACAUGAAAGUUGAUUUCACAGUUCUAUUGGGUAACUUAGUUUUCAUGCCUACUAUUUGGUUUUGGUCUAAUUUUUUCCUGUAAAGUGCCCUGCUUAUUUCUGUAGGACUAGAUUAAUGUGCCUGCAUACCAUUACAUAUGUCAGCCUUUGCCUAUGAAUGUGAAUGGUAUGUGUUUUUAGCAAAUGAGCUCAUCCUAGAUUCAAGGUGGGAUAUCGAUUGAGCAUGUACAGAGAUAACAUUCUCUUUAUUUUUUUAGGUCUCCUUGUUUAUGAGUAUGUGAUUGGAUAGUACCAAAGAUAGUGUGAUUCUAUCCAUUUACAUUAUGUUCAUGUAAGAGCAAUAGUUUAUCUAUUUGAAGGAUUACUAAUGCACUACUCGAUUCUGAUUACUGACUGUACAUUCAACCAAACCUAAAGGCUUGUAUAGCACUAGUGCACUAAUAGUGCUUGACUGAGAAGAGCAGUGAGUACUUUGUGUUGCUCCAUAUUUUUUCGUGUAGAGGCCUACAGCUGAACACACUUGAUUAGAGUACAGAUCUACAUUUUGCUGCUGAUGUGUAUGCUUCACUGUGUGACAGAGCGAAUUUCUGUCGUAUAAAAUGUCAGUGUGAUUCACUCUUUAAAAAGAUUGACCUCCCUUGAGCAGAAGUGGCCAUCCUCCCUUGAGCAGCAAAGGCCACCUCCAUCUCUUUCCACCAGCAGCGAGAAACAAGCCACCAGGAAGAACUAAGGUUUCAGAUUGUGAACUGCUGCCUUUAGGAAGAACUAAGGUUUUAGAUUGUAAACUGCUGCCUUCUGAUGUGGAUCUAUAGAACAUUGUAAGUGAGCAGGUUCAGCAACAAAAUGAGAAAAUGGAUGACUAACAAAGUGAGCUAGAAGACUUGAAGCUAAGCAGCAAGGAAGAAUCAAAGGGGAGAGAUUGAAAGUUUGAAGAAGCAUGGGGAGAGACUUUUUGGCUCUGAGUUCGUAGAGUUGUCUUGGUUGUCCUGUUAUCGAGUGACUUGUCUUUUUUUUGUUUUUUGGGCUGUUUAUGGAGUGACUUGACAAGUGAUGGUGGGCUGAAAUAUGCAUAUGAAUUUGUUGGUUUUUGGGCAAGUGAUAUCAGGCUAUAAUAAAUAUUUUGUAAA